CCCAUUCUCACUCCAAAGGCGUCAAAAACCGAAGCAUGGUCAAGCGCCCCUAGCGUCACUUUUAUGACGCCAAAUGUGCCUCUCGGCGUCGACUAUCGAAGCACUACGACCUUCAUUGCUUUCAGUGGGAAACUUUUGGCGUCAGAAUUCGACACGAGGACAUGAGAUGUUUAUCGCUAUGAAAUCACGUUCAAGAAGUCUCAUUCAGCAUACAUCGCGCGAUACUUGCUAUCAGUUCCACAGUUUGGCUGAAAAGACGUAAAGGCAGUCAGCCCAGUGGUGUUUCUGGAGAGGGAUUCCUUCAGAAAUGGAGAAGACAGAAAGCUGCGGAGGCAGAUAUUUGCAGCAUGUUCGAGUGAGCAUGAUGACCACGAGUGUGUGUCGAACUUUUCAUGACCUGAUGACUGUGUUUCCCAAUCCUGAUCCUGGAGAACCCCAGCACUGCACGGUUUUGGUGUCUCUCUUAUCUGCCUUGGAGUCUUCACUGAUGAGCUGAUGAGUUGAAUCAGGAUUGUUUGAGGAUAACACUGCAGUUCUCCAUCAUGCACAAGGACUCACCUCGUUAACUCUUUAUCCCCCACACACACAGAUAUGGUCCCUGGAUCAGUGAUUAGACUUUGCAGUGGUUUGAUUUUUGCAGAAGAUGUAACUUUGUUUUAUUUAUAAGCUCAUAAUGAAUACAUUACAGAACCAGUGAUGAAAACAAUAGUUAAAAAUAGUAUUUUUCGUAUUGAUAAAGCAUUUUGUUCUCUUUUUCAAGCUUCAUACAGUGAACUUUUUAGACUUUAAUUAAGAGUUUUAGUAAAGGAGAUAUUCAUACACAGUCAUCCCCUAGCUCCAGUCAUGAAGUGAAUUCAUGAUGUUAUUGUCAAAGCUAGCAGGUGUUUGUUUUCCUGAACACUUUCUCUGUCUUCCAUUGUUCAGACAAUCAGUGUUUAUUUGAUGCUGUGCUGAUUGAGUUUUAUAGAUGAUAUUGCACACUUGACAUGCAUGUCUUCAUGGUGUUUUUUUGUGAGUUUGAAACAUUUACAUUGUGUUGUAUAACAUUUUGGUCAAUUUAAUUUUUUUAAUAAAAUUGAUCUUUUUCCAGUGUUCUCUGAAAGACAUACUGUAUUUACUGUUUUGUUUUUUAAUAAAAGCAUUUUCAUUUGCAUACUGAAAAUAGUUAAUGUUUACAACAUAACUGCCUUUUUAUUCUUUAUGGUGGCAAAAACGAGCUUGGUGACAGAGGAUGCAGUGUAGUAAUUUGGGCAUGUUGUCUUUAAAUGAGUUUGACAUAUCAAUAAAUAAUGGAAGAUCCUUACAAAAAUAUGCAUGUUUAUUAUGCUUUAUGUAUUUAUUUGUUCAUUCAUUCAUUCAUUAAUUUAUAAUUUCUGUUUUUAUUCCUAGGGUUCAAAUGGUAGAGAAUGGUAAAUCACAGAAACACAAAUGUGAACAAUUUUAACUUUAAAACACAAUGUAAUAUACAAUGUAAAUUUUAGAAGCACGUCAUUUGAUUAGUAAAUAUAUUUGUCUUUGGUCAAAAAAAAAAAAUACAAAUCUUAAAAAUGUGUCUUAUAUUUAAUGAGAGGAAUCUAUCUGUUGGAUACAACUGCGACUGCUGGGCAUGUGCACAUCAAUAUUGCCCAAUUUUUGUCAAG